AUCCUCACUUUGGCAGCACAUACACUAGAACUGGAAUGAUGCAAAGAAGACUAGCAUGGCCCCUAUGCAAAUUCAUGAAGUGUUCAUAUAUUUU
rnacentral:snRNA from 1 species